AAACUUUUGUUUAUCGGAUAGUCGACUAGUUGAUUAGUCGCUUACAUCCCUAUUUAGAUGACAUUUGCCAAGGAUAAUUCUCUAAAUACACUGAGGUUUGAGAGCUGCUAGAAGGUCAUGUGUGCAUUCUGGUGAAUUUUAGAUGAUUUUCACCUUAGAGGGUGUGAAAAAAAAAGGACUAAGAAAGAAGAAUAAGUUUAUAGUUAAGGCACAGGACUGGAUUUUAGGAGAUCAGGAGACUUCUUCUGUGAUCUGUCAUGUCUCUUAAUCUCUCUGUGCCUUCGUUCCCCAACUGGGAUAUUUCCUACCUCAUAGGGAUGUUAUGUUAAAGCUGAUGAUGACUUCAGAUACUCUGUUGAGGAAGAGCAGAAAAUUCUCAAACAGAAAAUAACCAAAAAUGUGUGCAGUAUAUAGAAGUACCUAUAGUGGCCGUUGAAUCCGUCUGAGGUCAUCAGAGAAAUCAUCCUUUGAAAAGUGCUGUUCCCAGAAUCCCUUUCUGCCUCAGGGCUCUCCCUAUCUAUACGCUUCUCCAAACUUUCCUCCUCAUUACUAGUUCUGCUUCCUUCUCUCUCCCACUGAAAGCUGCUCCCCUUUCUGUCCCCUUUUCCUCCUUCUUUCAGGAUUACUUCACACCUUGCUUCUCCUCAGAGACUGAUCUCUUGAUGCCUUGCAGCUCCCUGCAAUAGACACACUCCAGUUCCAUUCAUCUUGCUGUGCACAGCUUCAAGGAGGCUGCAGGGGGCUGGAACUGGCUGCUGCUCUGGAGAAAGAGGAGCAAUCCUGCACUGUUUAAGUCAAAGAGAGUUUUGCUGUUGACUUCAGAGAGAAGAGGAAUUAUCUCAUGGUCCUUGCGAUGCUGUCUCCUGACUCAUGCCACAAGGAAGUUCUGGAUGGGAACCGCUGAUGCCUGCUAGAAGAACAAAGCAGCACGAUUACUUUAAAAAGUAGAUUAUUCAGAAGACAUUGUGAACUGGAGGAGUGUGUUUGUCAUGUGAACAUAGCACACGUAGCUAUGCCUUUUUUAAUCACACAUGGUAACAUAUCCCAGGUUGUGCCACAAUUCUGCUGGCAGGGGGAGGGAGAGCAGAGCAGGAAGAAAGGUGGAUUCAAACCAAUUUUGUACUUCCCUGAUCCCAGUGAUCCUAGAGGCUGUUUUGACCCUGAGUGUAUGUUGAAGCAUCCAUAACUUCCGCCAGCUUGGAACAAGGGCAGUAAGGCCAGGGGAUCACCAGUGCUCAGCACGCUACAGCGUGUCCCUGUGAUAUCUCUAUGUGAUGGGUCAGCAGAGCGUGCAGUACAGCUAACUAUGCCCUCUCUCCCCCAGCUGCAGCAUGCUAUUAGAUCCACAGUCAGGCCCCUUUGUACUGCUGGUGGAGUGCAAAGGCGCUGGAGUAAUGAUCAGGCUGCAGCCCAUACUGCCUUUUCCUUUUGGAGUAGGGGAAUGUGAAUGUGGCUUUAUAACAAUCUACCCUUCUUUUUUCCUUCUCCAUGAUUAACCUGCUGGAUAUUUUUCAGUGAAUUUUAUAUUAAUUUAUUUGUUUUUGUAAUUUCUCAUUUGUUUCAUUGCUUUGAAAUACUUAGUCAGAACUACUUUUUAACAGUGAGGGUAAUUAACUACCAGGACAGCUUAUCUGGGAAUAUGAUCGAUUCUCCAUCACUUGCACUCUUCAAAUCAAGCCUGGGUAUCUUUCUAAAAGAGAUGCCAUAGCACAAGCAUACUUUAUGGAAUUGUAGACUGUGGCCAAGUCCCCCAAGCAGCAGGGUGGCCUAGUAGUUAGGUCCCAGAGUUAGCUGGUGGCCUGGGGAAUAGGCCCCUGCCACUGAAGCCUUGGGCCUAGGAAUUCCAGCCUCUUAUCAGAGUCUGGUUCUUCAGUUUGGGGUGUAGCCCAAGAGUCCAAUUUCCUUCAGUGAAGGUUCCUUCUGGUUCUCCCCCUUUGUACUGGGGCAGGGGUUGGAGUCUUAUGUGCUCCUAUGGCUGACCCAGUAGACAGCUUUGGCUCAGGUCCUGCAGAUGGCAGAACCAGCUCCUGUCUCUUCAUUGGUCAGCCCCUAACUGAGCCAAGUUCUUCUCUUUUAUUCUCUCUCCAGGCCUGGCAUUGGCUGCAGAUAAAACAGGGCAGGGCUAGUCGGGCCUUUUUUAAUCCCUGCACUACCAGGCCCACCUCUCAUUCCCUCACAUAGACAUUAUUUGGUAAGGCUCUUUAGCCUGUGUGAGGGAAAGUGUUAGGCCACAUGAUCGGAUCAUUUGUGGCCUUAAAAUCUCUGAGGCUAUGUCUACACUACAGGACUACAUCUAACU